rnacentral:lncRNA from 1 species
GUGUGAUCAAUUAUAGCCUCUUCUUCAUCUUGACUUAGUGAGUUGUGGUCGAAAUGAGGAAAGAUUUGGAUGCAGAGGGCUUCCUUAGCGUUCACUCAAACACGUAAAAGGGAAGUAAGAUCAAGGAAGGUGUCUUCACUGCAGGGGAUAGUAAUUCCACCCAUUGGAUGAUCAUAUCCAAAUUCUUCCUCUGCUUGAUUCAGCAGAUCCAGGAAUAAAGGUUCAUUCAAAUAUGAUAUCGGAAUCAUAAAUCGCUUCUUCUGGCUCUCCCCAACAUACACUGCAAAAUAGCCCUUUGGGAGGGCCUUUGAAGCAGCUGCCUGGUUUAGACUUCUCUUGGUGUUAACAGUUCCUGGCAACUGGAAGCGCAUGGUUUUUAAAUUCUCAAGUUGAAUCAGAACAAGAAAAAGAAUUCAAAGGACUUGGGAAACAAAGAAAGCUUUGAUGGUUGGCAGGUAAGCGAAUUUGAGUUGUUGAUGAACCUGAUCAUGAGUGUAUAUAUAGAUGAAAGCACUGUGAAAACUUAUCUGCUACAUGAAAUGAGUG